rnacentral:rRNA from 1 species
UACGGAGGGGGCUAGCGUUGUUCGGAAUCACUGGGCGUAAAGGGUGCGUAGGCGGGUCUUUAAGUCAGGGGUGAAAUCCUGGAGCUCAACUCCAGAACUGCCUUUGAUACUGAGGAUCUUGAAUUCGGGAGAGGUGAGUGGAACUGCGAGUGUAGAGGUGAAAUUCGUAGAUAUUCGCAAGAACACCAGUGGCGAAGGCGGCUCACUGGCCCGAUACUGACGCUGAGGCACGAAAGCGUGGGGAGCAAAGCAGG